UCGUCGCGAGGCUGCGAGGCGCCGCUCGGGGAUGCUGGCGCCGAACCGGAGGGGAUGGCGAGGGUCAGUUCCUUUAAGCGGGCGCGGACUUUCCUCAGUGAUGACUUUGGGUUUUAUUUCCUCCUGGACCCGCGCACUCGCGCCCUGUGGAGUGAUUCACUUCCUCUUCCGUGACCUGCUGUUUGGGCCGCGGCCAGCAGGCUUCCGGGAAGUCGGCAGGUCAUCCCUAGGUAAACCCUUAACCUUGCCCAGUGCUGGGCCAGGCCCAGCAAGGCCGAGGUUUGUGAAACAGAAGCAGAAAUUCCGUCCCAGGAGCGGUUUCCAAAAGUUUGGUCCCUGGAACUUUGCCCCCAAAGAACCGUGGACUUCACGCUCCCACGUGCCUGGUGAAUGCCCGCAUCUCGCAGCCAGAGCGUCCGCGGCCCCGCCCCGCCCCGCCCCGCCCACCAGUGAAUCACCACGCGUCCGGGGCCAUGCUUUAACCACGCCACAGCGCGAAUUAUUGCGUCCGUUGGAGGAGAACUGAUUUCCGAGUACGAGUACAUCUUACUGGUUUUCAGCCAUGUUGGUGUAUUUACAAACAAGUUCCAGACGGUAUCGUGGCAGUGGCAAAUAUGGAUGCUGCCAUGGGUCAAAUUGUUGCACAGCGCCUUCCAUUCCAUUGAGGUCCAGGAAGUCUACAGCUGCCACUUGGGAAAACAGUUCACUUAGGAGUUCUCCUCAUUCUGCGGGUCCAGUUUGGCAGCACCCAAUGACAACAGGGCUGAGAAAAACCGCUCUCAAAAUUAGCAUGGAACCAGUGAGUGAACUGAGGUGGAGGCAGUUGGGACCCAACAUGCUCAGCUUUCUGUGCCCAGGUAAUGCUUGUGCCCUACAGGUGGAAAUUGGGUUUUGGAAGGAAGUCCCAAUCCAGUCCUCUGCCUGAGAAAGAGCUGGUGUGCUGGCCGUCUGCCUCC